GACAGGGAUGCCCGUCAUCCUGGUCCUGGAGGAGGGGUGGGAGGGAUUUUAAUGCGGUGCAUCAUUCCCCGAGGAAGUAAAAGGGGAUGCAGGAUUUAAGGGUCCAGCUUGCAGGGCUGAUUUGUCCCCAAACCUCAGGCACUGGGGCCGGGUUCUGGACAGACAGACGUGCCAGAAGGUCCUGCUCAUCCCGGGAGGAUGAACCCCUGCUCCCAGGAUGUCCAUAACUGCAUCCAGACCCUGAGCCCUGCUGGUUCCUUUGCAAAUCUGAAGGUGACUGAAGACACCGGGAUUUUCCUCUGCUCCAGACUCGACAGGAAGGGGGAGCCAGGUGGGAAUCGGGGUCUGCUCCCAGGGAACAAGGGACUGGACAAGAGGGAACGGCCUCAGGCUGCACCAGGAGAGGUUCAGGUUGGAUGUCAGGGAAAGUUUUUGCACUGAAAAGGUUGUCUUCAAUAAUGCAGACAAGGAAAACAUCCCAGGAAGACCAACUGGGAGAGCUGGGGGGGUUCACCUGGAGAAGGGAAGGAUCCAGGAAGACCUGAGAGCCCCUUCCAGGGCCUAAAGGGGUUCCAAGAAAGCUGGAGAGGGACUUGGGACAAGGGAUGGAGGGACAGGACAAGGGGGAAUGGCUUCCCAGUGCCAGAGGGCAGGGAUGGAUGGGAUAGAUGGGAUAUUGGGAAGGAAUUCAGGCCUUUGAGGGUGGGGAGGGGCUGGGAUGGAAUUCCCAGAGAAGCUGUGGCUGCCCCAUCCCUGGGAGUGUCCAAGGCCAGGUUGGAGCACCCUGGGCUAGUGGGAGGUGUCCCUGCCCAAGGCAGGGGGUGGCACUGGAUGGGCCUUAAGGUCCCUUCCCACCCAAACCAUCCUGGGAUUCUCUGUUAGAAGCUGACAGAAGAUCCAUGGGGACAGGAAAUAUUAGGAAGUCUGUAGCACCUGAUGGCUCCAACGUUAAUUGUCAAAGUCUUCAGGGUCACCUCUGCUGAAUAUUUGCCUUUUCCCUUCGUUUUUCCAUGAAAAAUGUUCUUUUCCCGGAGCAUCCCAAGCUGCCGUGGCAGCACACGUAUGGAAUGUGAAUGCCAUCUACUGGCUGCUGUCCCGGGCCUUGGAGCAGGUGUUCCCUGUCCAAACUCCAUCCAUCUGAUCCCGCAGGAAUUUCAUUGAGCACACAGUGAGUCGGCCCAGCUCUGCUCGCCAGGGACAGGAUUUGCUGGGACUCCCUUUUCCUCAGGGAUUCCAGGAUGUGCACAGCGAGCCCUGCACCCGGCUCCCUUCCCAGCACUGCAAUUCCUCUGGGAAUUCCGUGCCGAGCCCAGCUCCUGCAGAGUCCUGCCCCUCUGGAGGAGGCAAUAUCCAGGAUCGGGUCCUUCCUGGUACUGGGUGUUUUCCCAAGCAGCUUUUUCCAGUCUCUCUCCCAUCUCCACUUACUCCUUCCCCUGGAAUAACACAUUUCCUGUUCCCUACCAGUGUGUUUUUCCCACCCUACGAGCCAAACCCUCCCGCGAGGGGGAGGAUGUGACCCUUUUGGGAAGUCAGUGUGAGCAUCCUGCUUUCAUUUCCCUGGAUUUGGAGCUCGUUUUUAGGCGGUGCCCACUGGGACAUUCCGCGAGCCCUGCGGGUCGCAGCGACGCGGAUCCCCCCCAAAAAAUCCCUUUCCUACCUGUAUAAACCCGCCACAGGAAUCAGUGGCUCGUCCAGUGGUGCCGAUGGCUUUGUCAUUCCAGCAAAUCCAGCAAAUCCCGGCGGCUCCAGCCGGGAGAGCGGUGGAUCCAUGGGCGAUGCGCGGCGCGGGCUCCAGAGGGCCCCGCGCACCAGGAGAUGGACGGAGGGAGAUUCCCUGCGGAUUUUUCUCCACUGGGAAACCAGAAAGGCUGUUUGUGCAGUCCAGGAAGGAAGGACUCGAGGAAUUCACCUCAAGGAAUCCCUGAAAAUGCCCAAGGCCAGGUUGGAGCAACCUGGGAUGGUGGAAAGUGUCCUGCCCGUGGCACAGGGGGGACUGGCUGGGCUUUAAGGUCCCUUCCAACCCAUCCUGGGAUGUGGGUUGACACUUCCCCACUGCCCUGGACAGCCUUUGCCAGGCUGGACAACCCUGUCAGUGAAGAAAUUUUCCCGAUAUCCAACCCAACCAAGAAAUUCUCCCUAAUAACCCACUACUCAAAUAAUCCAAACUUUCCGCUCGAAGCCACCCGGUGCAAAGUGGAUCCUUUCCCUUCAGGAGAUGCUUCAGCUCCUGGAUUAAGGCAGAGCCUGGGCAGAAGGUGGGUUUGCUCUGGUGUUUUAUUAUCUAGUCAUAAACAUUUACUCCUGCUGCUACUCCCAAGGCAGAGCCUCAGCUCGGUGGUGACAGCAGCGUGAUAAAUCCUGCUUCCAGUUCAUGCCCCGCUCCGGGAAGGACAUUCCUUGCUUUGGGAUUCCCAGGCUGUUGACAGGUCCAGGCUGAACCCCCCUGUGACCUUGACAUUGAUGUGUGAAGGGUUAAUGAGGGCUCUGCUCUGCCUCCCUGCUCCCAUCUGCUGAUUAAUUCCAGCCAGGUGUCCACGGGCCCAGGUCUUAAAACAACAACAGCUCGAGUGUCUGGGAACACUUAGUCAGGCUUCACUCUGCAAUUCCAAGUAUGGAUAAAUAUUUGCACCUCUGUGGCUCGAAGACACCUUGGAGAUACGGAGGCAGUUGCCUGAGGAGUUCUUUACAAGGGGAAAAACAGGGAUUUCCUGGGGAGCAGAGGAGGUUCAGCAGCAAGGAGGACUCGUGGGCUCCUCUUGCAGCUCUUCCUGGGUGGUCCUGGGGGAGGUCAGGGGGGGUUUUGGGGGCUGCAGGGGGGGGGGUGUCAUCCCACAGCACCUCUCAGGGGAUCCAAAGGUGCUCCCACUGAUGUUUGGCUCCAUAGUUUGUGGGCCUUGGUUGGUUUGCGUGGGAAAAUGAGGAGGAGAAACGCAGAACCCGGAGAUUCCAGAUCCAAAGCCCCCUUUUUUAUGGGAUACCCUGAGUGUGGCCCAGCAGCCCCAGAAAAUCUGUUUAAUUCUGUGAGUUCCUAUUUGUAAUUUAAUUGUUAUGUUUCCUUUUUUUCCUAAAAUAAACCAAAGGUUUCCAGCUCUGACUUUCACCCCUGGGACUGAAUUUCUGACUUUCAACAGCAAGGAUGACAGAAAAAAUGGUGUCUGCCCAGGGAAAUCCAACUUCUCCAUGCCUCCUUCCUACCUGGAGACUCCAAGGAGAGUUGCCUUGAAGAGAAACACCAGACACGUUGGAUUGAGGCAGGAGGGGAAGGGGAAGGUGGGAGCACAGGGAAUUCCUGGCCAGGAGCAGGGAGAUGCUGGCUCCCAUUCCCAGCCUGGAAUCACUCCCAGCUCUGGCUCCAUGGCACCCACCUGGGAGCGAUCAGGGAGCUGCUGGAAGGAGGCUCUGGAUGUGCUCCCUCCAUGGCACUGCUGGGUGCUGGGGGUGUCCCCCCCUCCCUGCUGAACUGUCACAGCCAGGCUGGAAUCAGAAGGGUUUGGGGUUGUGCCAGCCUGUGCAAGGAGCUGCCCUGAAUCAACUCCCUGGGCAGACGGACUCGCGUGGGGCUCAUAAAACCCCGAGCACCUUCUUGGCAGAGUCACAGUAAAUAAGAGCCUGGGAGGGAAAACACCAACUCCAUCUUGCUGGGAAAUGGGGCUUCAGCUUCAUCCAGUUUUUGGCCUCCCAAAUCCAGCAGAGCUCUCCAGGAGCAGGACAUCCAUGGACAGCACCACAGCACAGAUGUUGUGUUUACAGGGGGUCACUGCCCAAAUCUGCUUUCUCCUGGCAAGCUGAGUGUGCAGCUGGACACCUGGAAUCUCCAGGGAGCAGCUCAUUCAAAGGAUGCUUUGGGAAGGUGAGGCCAGUGUCUGGGAAAAAGGCACCAUCAUCAUGUUUGUACCUCCCCAACCUCCCCACUGAAGUGUUUAGGAUUCCCACUGGAUCCACUUUGGAUGAUCAUCUCCCAAAACAUCUCUGCUCUUGGAAAGCCUCAACAGAAUGUUCUGCAAGAGCUGAGCAGGGAGCAGUUGGAGACCACAGCUGUGAGUGUCCGGGCAGAGCUCCCUGAUCCAUCGUGGUGCACCGACGGUGCUCUGAAGGUGAAUGGUCUCACCUGCCCAACUGCCACAGAAUCCCAGGAUCACUGAGGCUGGAAAAGAUCUCCAUGACCAUGGAGUGCCCCCUGUGCCCCGUCCCCACCUUGUCCCCCAGCCCAGAGCACUGAGAGCUGCAUCCAGACAUUCCUUGGACAUCUCCAGGGGUGGGGACUCCAAACCUCCCUGGGCAGCCCCUUCCAAUGCCUGAGCACCCUUUUCCAUGAGGAAAUUCCCUCUGAUAUCCAACCUGAACCUCUCCUGGCACAUCCUGGGGCUGUGUCCUCUUGUCCUUUCACCUGCAGCGUUGGCAGAGGGAGCUCAGCCCUCACCCUUCCCACCCUCACCCGGGUGAGACCUCGGCACCCGAAGCUCCGCCGGGUCAGGAGCAGCAGGAACCAGGAAGCUCCUCCAAAACAAAGCAUUAUUUGUCUUCAGAUUUCGUGAUUAUUCACUCAUCAUAAAACAAUAACUCUUCCUUGUCAUCCAGGUUCAGUCCUGCCAAGUCCAUUCUGUCCUGUCCUCGCUCCAAUCUCCCACCACCUUCAGGACAGAAUAAUCCCUCCCCACGUGUCACGUCUGCCACUUGGAACAGUUCUCAGCCCACAGCUCUGUGGCCCUUUUCCACGGCUUCCCCAGGCUCAUUUGUUUCAUUUGCAUUAAUUAACCCUGCCCAGCUCAAGCUCCUCAAGGCCCUGGUGUUCAGGGGCACGAAACUCUGGAAUUUUCAAUCCUGGCCCGAAGCCACUUUGGUGCUCCAUGAAUAAAUAAAUAAAUAAAUAAAUAAAUAAAUAAA